rnacentral:rRNA from 1 species
UACGUAGGGUGCAAGCGUUGUCCGGAAUUAUUGGGCGUAAAGGGCGCGUAGGCGGCUUGACAAGUCACUUGUGAAAUCUCCGGGCUUAACUCGGAACGGCCAAGUGAAACUGUCAUGCUAGAGUGCAGAAGGGGCAAUCGGAAUUCUUGGUGUAGCGGUGAAAUGCGUAGAUAUCAAGAGGAACACCUGAGGUGAAGACGGGUUGCUGGGCUGACACUGACGCUGAGGCGCGAAAGCCAGGGGAGCAAACGGG